rnacentral:misc_RNA from 1 species
CAAAUGAGAAAAAAUAAUUGUGUUUGCUCGCAAACGAAAAAAAAACCGACUUCAAUUACAUCGACAAGUAAUACAACGUAGAUCGACUAAAAAAUAGUCAAGCAACUACGCGUUAUCAAAGAUUACUCAAAAAGUAGUAAUCAGAUCUCGAUAAAAUUUAUAUGUACACCCAGUAAAAAGUUAUUGCGGAUUUUCGAGAGUUUCCCUCGAUUUCUCUGGGAUUCCAUCAUCAGAUCCUGGUUUCCUUAUCACGGUACCAAACUAGGGAUAUCCCCUUUCCAACAAAAAAAGAAUUAUCAAAAUCGGUACAUCCAGUAGAAAGUUAUGCGGUAUAAUACAACGUAGGUCGACGAAAAAAGCGUCAAGUAAAAACGCAUUAUUAGAUAUAGCUCGAAAAGUAGUUGUUAGAUCUCAAAUAAAUUUAAAUGGGACCAAUUGGCACAUACCACCUUUCGAUUAAAACAAAAUUUGUCGAAAUCGGUCUACCCGUUCAAAAGUUCUGAUGUAACAUACAUAAAAA